AUCCCUUUCUCUUCUUCCUCACGCCGCCUGAAAACCCCACCCCCACGUGCCACUAACCGCCCAGCCGCCGAUCUACUCUCCAGUCGCACCGCUCGUCGUUCGUGGGUUUCGGCCGACCAGAUCCCACCAAUUAGACCACGCCGCUCGUUCGUCGCGUCGCCCCUUUCAGCCAAUUGUUCCGUUCGCGAGCAACGAGAAGCUCUUCAGCUGCCGUUUGUGAGCCACCUGAGCCCUGAAGUCGAAUGCACCUGGAUCAGACGUCGAACGACCGCCGUGAGCCUUUGUCCAGCCGAGCCGCUCAUCCAAAUCCCCUCCAACUGUGCGUCCUCCACUCUAGCCGCACGUCCGCCGCUCCAGCCGCACGUCCGUCGCACCAUUGCCAGUCACCGUCGUCCCUGCCGCGUCGGGUCCAAUUUAGUCUUUGUCAGAAUCUUGGAUUAAGGGGCGAAAUUUUAGGUUGUUGAAGUGUUCGUCCAGUCGAUUAAAGGGGUAGUCGACGAAUCUUGGUGAAGGGUUUGGAUCUUGAGGUUUCCUGGUAUCUUUGUUUUGGCUGAUUUAAGUUUGAUCCUGUGGGCUUUCAGUUUCGUUGAGCAAGGAAGAGGUUGAGCUUGCUAGUUUCUAGAGUUUGCGAGUAAAGACCAAGAAUACCGAGGUAACCUUCUUGGUGGUGUCAUACUCAACUCGACAUAGUCAAGGUUCUGUGGAGGUCGUUCGUGGUGUUCGGGGUGUCCGUGACCUUGGUAAUCGCUUAGUUCGAAUUCGCUGUGAUCGUGCAGUGUAGCAGUUGUGUUAGACGAAAGUUCGUGUGUUGCUGUGUUGUUGUGAUCAAGCGUUCGUGAUCAAGGAACUUAAAGAUGAGUCUUCAAAGGUUUGUUAAUUCAUUCCCUUGAUCAUGUAGUAAAACAUGUUGUAAUUUCUGUUUUAUGCAUAACUGUAUGUUUCUGUUUGUAACUGUAAUUGUGAUGUUCAUAUACGACUGAAAUUUUGAAAGAUCCUUCUGUUGCUCAUGGAAAUCCUUGUGUCCGAUUUUCUUCAACUUUUUCAUUUGAAACAUGGGUCAUGCGAUCAACAUUCAUUUAAAGCAUGUGCCCAAUAAACAUAUUAUAAAAACGUCAUGUAAACUGCCUAUGCGAUAAAAAUAUAAUAAAAACUAUCUUUGGAAAAACAUUUAUUAAAACUUGUCACUCACUAUCUUAGCUACUUAUCCAAAGGGUCCGUAAGUCUCUCUCGCUUACGUCUGUCCUGUAAUAAAAAGAGGUCCCUUGGUUAAUAUCAUUAGCUCCCUUUUGAGCUUAACAUAAUACUUAACUUAACAUUA